UCCGCGACGGCCCCGAGGACGGUGGGACUCGGGAAGGGCCUGGAGGGUUUCACGGCCCCGGUUCCGGAGGCGAGAGGGCCGUGCCCCAACGGAGCCACCACCUUCGAAAACCACUGUCUCGGGCAGAGUUGCAACGGCUGGCAAGAGGAGAAGAGGACGUGGUGGAAGACUUGGAUUUUUCCAAUGGAGACUGAUGGAUGGACAGAUUUUGGGGGGGGUGUAACUGGACAGCUGUUGCCACUUGUGGAGGGCUGAGGAAGGGGCUGCAUUGUUCCAGCUGGCCCUGAAUCCCUGUUAAUGCACUGGAGGGACAUGCCAGAAAAUUUUAUCCUCCAGCAGGGGAGCUUAAAAAGACCACGAUGGCUGCAAAAAAAACCCCUGCCUCUUUAGAAUAAUAAUAAUGGAGGUUCUUAAAACCAUCUCAAAACAAAACCUUCUU